rnacentral:rRNA from 1 species
GGCCUAACACAUGCAAGUCGAGGCGGUAGAGAGGUGCUUGCAUCUCUUGAGAGCGGCGGACGGGUGAGUAAUGCCUAGGAAUCUGCCUAGUGGUGGGGGAUAACGUUCGGAAACGGACGCUAAUACCGCAUACGUCCUACGGGAGAAAGCGGGGGGUCUUCGGACCUCGCGCCAUUAGAUGAGCCUAGGUCGGAUUAGCUAGUUGGUGAGGUAAUGGCUCACCAAGGCGACGAUCCGUAACUGGUCUGAGAGGAUGAUCAGUCACACUGGAACUGAGACACGGUCCAGACUCCUACGGGAGGCAGCAGUGGGGAAUAUUGGACAAUGGGCGAAAGCCUGAUCCAGCCAUGCCGCGUGUGUGAAGAAGGUCUUCGGAUUGUAAAGCACUUUAAGUUGGGAGGAAGGGCCAGUAAGUUAAUACCUUGCUGUUUUGACGUUACCAACAGAAUAAGCACCGGCUAACUUCGUG